rnacentral:rRNA from 1 species
GACGUAGGGCGCGAGCGUUGUCCGGAUUUAUUGGGCGUAAAGAGCUCGUAGGCGGCUCGUUGCGUCGGCUGUGAAAACCCACAGCUUAACUGUGGGCCUGCAGCCGAUACGGGCGAGCUAGAGUUCGGUAGGGGAGACUGGAAUUCCUGGUGUAGCGGUGAAAUGCGCAGAUAUCAGGAGGAACACCGGUGGCGAAGGCGGGUCUCUGGGCCGAUACUGACGCCGAGGAGCGAAAGCGUGGGGAGCGAACAGG